rnacentral:misc_RNA from 1 species
GUAGGUGAACCUGCGGAAGGAUCAUUACCGAGAUUUUUAUCUGCUUGCAGAUAAUCUCCCACCCUUUGCGUAUCAAAUUUUAUACUUUGGUGAAGCGUGUCUCUUCACAGGGAACCAUCGGCUUUCGAGCGGGUGAGUCUUCGCCAAAGGACCCCAAACUCUUUAUUUUUAUCAAUUGUCUGAGUUUAUAUUUUAAAUAAACAAAACUUUCAACAACGGAUCUCUUGGUUCUGGCAUCGAUGAAGAACGC